AGAUAUCUUCCUUGAUUACCUCCCAAUGAGAUUGAUAGAACAUACCAGUCAAACCAUCAGGGCCUGGGGCUUUCGAUGCACCUAAUUGAAAUGUGGCCUGUUUAACUUCUUCCAUUGUUACCUUUGCUAGAAGCAUGCUAUUCAUUUCUGUGGUAACCAUUGGUUGACAUUGUUGAAGAACUUGUUCAUAACUUCUAGGGCCAGAUUGUGUAUAGAAGUGAAAAAUACUCAGUGGUCAUUUGUUGUAACUGGUCAGGGUCCCGAAUCCACUGUUGAUGAUUAUCGCGUAAGACUGAAAUAUGAUUGCGUUGUCUUCUCUGAAGAGUAGUGGCAUGAAAGAAGCGCGUAUUACGGUCACCCCACCGUAACCAAUUGAUCCGAGAGCGCAUUGCCCAAUAUUGUUCUUCCCGCUGCCAUGCUUUGUGAAGUUCUAUUUUUAAAUGACGUUGCUGUUCUCGAGUUAGGGCUGUAGGAUACUGAUUAGUCAGCAUUUCUAACUGGUGCUCCAACUGUGUUGCCUGUUGCCUGUUAUGAGAAAACCUCUUUCGACUCCAAACGGACAAGUCAAGAGCAACUGCACGUAGUUUGACUGAGAGCGGGGAGUCCUGUCUUGAAAUAGAUUGCCAAGAAUCUUGAAUGACCCCGCGACAAUCCGGAUCCUGAUUCCAGAAGACCUCAAAGGGAGUGCAAGCACCUGAGCAUUUGGGAACAAAACACGCCAGUCAGCAUUACACACAGCUCUAUCAAGGCGUUCCUGUACUAAAGCAUCCCCCUCUCGAUUGUUAGACCAUGUAAAGGCGCAGCCAUGAGAGGGAAGAUCCAGUAAGCUGCAGUCAUUUAGAAAAUCUUGAAAGGAAGUCAUGCGGUAAGAGUCUGCAGGUCGAAUUCCCCUUUUCUCCCAGCGAUGAAGAAUGUCAUUGAAAUCACCAAGGCACACCCAAGGAGCAUGAAGACAAGUAAUUCGCAUUGACCUCCCUACCGAACUGUCUUUGCAGAUGAAAUCAAAAAGGUGUUGAGUAGAAGUAAAAUCAGAUAACUGGAAGUGGUCAUUCCAAAAAAGAGCUAAGCCCCCCGCUAAGCCAACAGGGCUAAAAACUCGAAGAUGCAAAAACCGUAAGGUGGCUGUUGUGGGCCAGCCACCGACGCCCUUAUGUUGUCUUCAGUCGCCAUAACAAUUGGAGUGUCCAUUAGGAGGGAGGGAAGGUCUGCAUCUGCACUCCUUUAAGUUUUUCCUCCGCUGGAAUUAAAGCAGUAGUAAUAUCAUGAUGCGUUGGGGUAGUAGAAUUCAAAAUUGCAGAGCUGCCCUUGGAGAUAAAGGAUUUUAUCUGUUGCGCAGGAACCGAUGCUUGGGGGGAGGUGGUGGUAAGAGAGGUAAAGGUUGAGCAUUGGAGGGUGGUGUCUCAGCUUUUAACCAGGGACCAUAAGGUGUUUUCUCGGAGUCUGUAAACAUAGUUUCUUCAAAAGGUAUAGACGGACAAGCAUCAAUGAAAUGGCCUAAUCGACCACAAGAGUAACAGUAGUGAGAUAAAGGCAGCUCAACACGUGCUCGACCAGCUCUCAAAGUUGAACCAGGUACAAAAUCUGAUUUUAUUUGCAACACAGAACCAACUGUACUUACCGCCUUACGAAUCAAAUCAUCUGUACAGCAUUCAAGAGGCAGCCCAAUGACCUUAACCCAGAACGCACAGGUGGAAAAAUCAUAA